AUUGAACGCUGGCGGCAGGCCUAACACAUGCAAGUCGAGCGGGGUUUUCGGACCUAGCGGCGGACGGGUGAGUAAUGCGUAGGAAGCCGCCCGAUAGAGGGGGAUACCAGUUGGAAACGACUGUUAAUACCGCAUAAUGUCUACGGACCAAAGUGUGGGACCUUCGGGCCACAUGCUAUCGGAUGCGCCUACGUGGGAUUAGCUAGUUGGUGAGGUAAUGGCUCACCAAGGCGACGAUCUCUAGCUGGUGUGAGAGGAUGAUCAGCCACACUGGAACUGAGACACGGUCCAGACUCCUACGGGAGGCAGCAGUGGGGAAUAUUGGACAAUGGGCGCAAGCCUGAUCCAGCCAUGCCGCGUGUGUGAAGAAGGCCUUCGGGUUGUAAAGCACUUUCAGCGAGGAGGAAGGGUGGUGUGUUAAUAGCACAUCAUUUUGACGUUACUCGCAGAAGAAGCACCGGCUAACUCUGUGCCAGCAGCCGCCGUAAAAC
rnacentral:rRNA from 1 species